rnacentral:rRNA from 1 species
UACGUAGGGUGCAAGCGUUAAUCGGAAUUACUGGGCGUAAAGCGUGCGCAGGCGGUUCGCUAAGACCGAUGUGAAAUCCCCGGGCUCAACCUGGGAACUGCAUUGGUGACUGGCGGGCUAGAGUAUGGCAGAGGGGGGUAGAAUUCCACGUGUAGCAGUGAAAUGCGUAGAGAUGUGGAGGAAUACCUAUGGCGAAGGCAGCCCCCUGGGCCAAUACUGACGCUCAUGCACGAAAGCGUGGGGAGCAAACAGG